rnacentral:rRNA from 1 species
GACGAACGCUGGCGGCGUGCUUAACACAUGCAAGUCGAACGAUGUGGCGAACGGGUGAGUAACGCGUAAUCAACCUGCCCUUCAGAGGGGGACAACCGUUGGAAACGACUGCUAAUACCGCAUACUGAAGGCGGGGCUUGUGUCGGAUUCGCAAGUUGGAGGGGUAACGGCCAACCAAGGCGCGGAUCAGGAGCCGGUCUGAGAGGAUGAACGGCCACAUUGGGACUGAGCGACGGCCCAGACUCCUACGGGAGGGAGCAGUGGGGAAUCUUCCGCAAUGGACGAAAGUCUGACGGAGCAACGCCGCGUGAGUGAUGACGGCCUUCGGGUUGUAAAGCUCUGUUAAUCGGGACGCGGUACCGGAAUAGAAAGCCACGGCUAACUACGUGCCAGCAGCCGCGGUAAUAC